rnacentral:ncRNA from 1 species
UGUUAAACCAAUUAUUUCAUUUGUAUAAACCCGGAAUAUGGCCGGGCGUUUCUACGGAAAACCGUUAAUUUUCCUCUACAAGUGAAGUAUUCGGAAUU